rnacentral:rRNA from 1 species
GCAAAUAAUUUAAGCCCACCCAAUACCACAAAAUAACACAUAAUCACACUAAAACAUUCUAAAAGACUAGUAGCUGAGAGCAAACUUCACACUUGACGCAAUAGAGAUUAGUACUGUGAAGGAAAAUUGAAAGACCAACAUAUAUUAAGCACAAAAAAGCAGAGAUAAAACCACAUACCUAUUGCAUCAUUGUCCAGCCAGUCAAACUCCGACAAGAAGCCCCCCUAGCCUGACACCCCGAAUGUAAGUGAGCUAUUCCCAAGCAGUUUAAUAGAACCAACUCGUUUCUGUUACAAAAGAAUGAGAAGACUCGAGAAUAGAGGCGAAAAACCAAACGAACUUACCGAUAGCUGGUUGCCUGAAUAAUGAAUUUAAGUUCAACCUUGGGUUAUAGUUAUAAAAAACAUAAUAACCACUUUACCCAAGAUAUAAUCAAUAAAGGUACAGCUCUAUUGAUUUGGGCUACAACCCAAAGUGGAGAGAAAGCACAAAAUAUUUUAACCAGUUGACCUUAAAACAGCCACCACUAAAUAUUACGUCACAGUAACACCACCCUAAAUACAAAAAUGCAAACCAACCUCCCACUUUCCAACCAGGCCAUUCUAUAAAACUAUAGAAGAAACCCUGCUAGAACGAGUAACAUGAAAAUUUUCUCUAAAAUAAGAGCCAAGCGUAUUCAGAAAAUAUGAAAAACAAUUCACAGCCAUAAAAUAAACUGUAGCCCCGACAUAGGAUUAUUUUCAGAAGACAUAAGUUUUUAAAAGGAACUCGGCAACCAACCUUUCCAACUGUUUACCAAAAACAUAGCCAUUAGCCAAACAAGUAUUAAAGGUAAUGCCUGCCCAGUGAGGGAAACCUUAAACGGCCGCGAUAACCCGUGCAAAGGUAGCGCAAUCACUUGUCUUCUAAAUAAAGACCUGUAUGAAUGGCCACAUGAGAAAGAAACUGUCUCUUGAAAACAGUCGGUGAAACUGAUCUGCCUGUACAAAAGCAGGCAUGCCAAAACAAGACAAAAAGACCCUGUGAAACUUUAAAUUAUCACCAAACAUAUGGUACUAAUUUUAAGUUGGGGCAACUAUAGAGAAACAAAACCUCUAUAUCACCACCAGAUCAACCAAUCUAUUGGGUUAAACUAUAAGACCCAGUAUUACUGAUCAAUGAACCAAGCUACUCCAGGGAUAACAGCGCCACAUUCUUGAAGAGUUCUUAUCAACAAGAAUAUCUACGACCUCGAUGUUGGACCAGGAUAUCCAAGUGGUGUAGAAGCUACUAAUGGUUCGUUUGUUCAACGAUAAAAAUCCUACGCGAUCUGAGUUCAGACCGGAGUAAUCCAGGUCGGUCUAUAUCUGUUCCACCGCUCCAUCCAGUACGAAAGGACCGAUGAAGCAGGACCAACUCUGAAGGAAAGUCCUUCAAACAACGCACUGAAAAAAUCUCAAGUGCAAAACAUGUGCCUAGGCAUUAUAAUCCUAGGCAAGAACUUC